rnacentral:misc_RNA from 1 species
GUUUAUGCCAAAAUUUAGUGUCAGUGGUAUCUGGAAAAGGUGGCGGGAAUCAUAUCCAUCCAAGAGUUCUAAACCUGAUGAUGCUAUAACAGUUUUUACCGGGGUUCCAACCAUGUAUGCUCGAUUGUUACAAGGUUAUGAAGCAAUGGAUUCUGAGCUACAGCUUGCUUCUGCCUCUGCUUCAAGACAGUUGCGCCUUAUGAUGUGUGGCUCUUCUGCACUCCCU